GUGAGAUUAGAAUUUGAGUGCCAUCAUUCAUCUUAUGGUAUCUUGUUCUCUGUGAUAACUGUUGACUUGCAAGAUACAAUGUUGAUUUACUAUAUAUGCCCGCACAGCUUGUUGCAUGCCCGCAAGAUACAAUGUUAUGUUCUUCUUUUCAGCCUUGCCUGUGUACAAUUUCUUCUUGAUAUGCUUCAGUUUUAAACUGUACAGUACAUGGUAAAAUGGAAUUGGGAUGGUUAUGUUCUGGUUGUCAUGAGAAUAUGUUACUGCUGCUUUUGUUAUUUAUCGCCUUCCCUGUGUACAGUUUAUCCCUGGUAUGCUUCCCUGUUACUACUAUAUCAUCAUGGCAAAGCUAACAUCUCAUUGUGCUCUUUUUCAUUUCAGAAGUCAGCCUCCGGCCAUGGCGGAUCUGCAGACGCUGCUGGUGCAACCAAAGAGGAAGAAGGUUCUGGUGGACUACCGGCUACGGUUUGCUUCAGCUCAUGCGGAUAGGAGGCGGAUGCCCGCACGGAUCCGGCGUCUCCGACCUUGGCAUCCACAAGGAGGAGCGGCGACAAUUACAUACCCAACCAUGGGGCAGCAUCAAUUCAUGAUUUCCUCUCAUAGUAGCUCCAUGCAAAAUAAGGUUGAAAGGAGAAGGAGAAGGACUGAAGGAGGUCCAUGUUGAAGAAGGUCGACAGAAGCAGUAGAGCUUGUAAUACUGUCAUUGCCAUUGUAUUUGUGUUGUAUGAUAUAUCCGCGUUUACCCACAAAAAAUGUAUUCACGUUGUAAUACUGUGAUUGCCAUUCUGGCUACUGUUUCAAGCAGUGUAUUUUUCCA